rnacentral:rRNA from 1 species
UACAGAGGGCGCGAGCGUUGUCCGGAAUCACUGGGCGUAAAGGGCGCGUAGGUGGCCACUAUAAGGCCGCGGUGAAAGUUCGGGGCUCAACCCUGAAUCUGCCGCGGCGACUGUAGGGCUAGGGCACCGUAGAGGCAGAUGGAAUUCCGGGUGUAGCGGUGGAAUGCGUAGAGAUCCGGAAGAACACCGGUGGCGAAGGCGGUUCUCUGGGCAUGUCCUGACGCUGAGGAGCGAAAGUGUGGGGAGCGAACAGG